rnacentral:rRNA from 1 species
UGCGCAGGCGGCUUAUUAAGUCAGUGGUGAAAUCUCUCGGCUCAACCGAGAAACUGCCAUUGAAACUGAUAAGCUUGAGUGUAGUUGUAGUAGGCGGAAUAUAGCAUGUAGCGGUGAAAUGCUUAGAUAUGCUAUAGAACACCGAUCGCGAAGGCUGCUUACUAAACUAUUACUGACGCUCAUGCACGAAAGCGUGGGGAGCAAACAGGAUUAGAUACCCUGGUAGUCC